rnacentral:rRNA from 1 species
UACGGAGGGAGCUAGCGUUGUUCGGAAUUACUGGGCGUAAAGCGCACGUAGGCGGAUACUUAAGUUAGGGGUGAAAGCCCGGGGCUCAACUCCGGAAUUGCCUUUAAGACUGCAUCGCUUGAAUCAUGGAGAGGUGAGUGGAAUUCCGAGUGUAGAGGUGAAAUUCGUAGAUAUUCGGAAGAACACCAGUGGCGAAGGCGACUCACUGGACACGUAUUGACGCUGAGGUGCGAAAGCGUGGGGAGCAAACAGG